rnacentral:rRNA from 1 species
UACGUAGGUGGCAAGCGUUGUCCGGAAUUAUUGGGCGUAAAGCGCGCGCAGGCGGUCCUUUAAGUCUGAUGUGAAAUCCCACGGCUCAACCGUGGAGGGUCAUUGGAAACUGGGGGACUUGAGUGCAGAAGAGGAAAGCGGAAUUCCACGUGUAGCGGUGAAAUGCGUAGAGAUGUGGAGGAACACCAGUGGCGAAGGCGGCUUUCUGGUCUGUAACUGACGCUGAGGCGCGAAAGCGUGGGGAGCAAACAGGAUUAGAAACCCUCGUAG